UAAGGAAUAUUGGUCAAUGGACGCAAGUCUGAACCAGCCAUGCCGCGUGAAGGAUGAAGGUCCUCUGGAUUGUAAACUUCUUUUAUCUGGGACGAAAACGGGAUUUUUAUCCCAAUUGACGGUACCAGAGGAAUAAGCACCGGCUAACUCCGUGCCAGCAGCCGCGGUAAUACGGAGGGUGCGAGCGUUAUCCGGAUUUACUGGGUUUAAAGGGUGCGUAGGUGGGCUUAUAAGUCAGUGGUGAAAUCUCCGAGCUUAACUUGGAAACUGCCGUUGAUACUAUAGGUCUUGAAUUAUCUGGAGGUAAGCGGAAUAUGUCAUGUAGCGGUGAAAUGCUUAGAUAUGACAUAGAACACCAAUUGCGAAGGCAGCUUACUACAUAUAAAUUGACGCUGAGGCACGAAGGCGUGGGGAUCAAACA
rnacentral:rRNA from 1 species